UGCUGGUGCACCUGCUGCCCAUUCUUAGCCACACCUUUUUCCAGGUGGCUCAGAUCAGCAGUCAAGGAGAAAGUGGGGGUGGCAGACUAAAUUCAUUAAACCACCAAAGCACCAGCCCAGAUGGCCUCUUUUUCAGUUAAUUCGCAUUAGCUACUUAUUCAGGUUUGAUAAGUGGGAGAGAAGUUGUUACUUGCAGAAGCAUCUUGUGAUAGAUGUUUUGCAUUGUUCUAAGGCCUGAGCAGUCUUGGAGACAGGCAGACACUGGUCGCUCACUGUGAUCACUGGAGGAAACAGUUACUGAGAGGCAGCUGACAGGGUGAAGGGAGUGGGGGAGGAAGGCCACGCAUUUGUGCUUCCCAAGGUCCCACAGGUGACAUCCUUUAAAGGAAACUGUGUCAUACUUGGGGUGGAAGAUUUGAAAGGCAGAGGAAAAGAAUGCUUUAUAAUUAGGGACCUGUCUUCAUCUCAGGCGACUCUUCCCGAGCACGAACUCUGUCUUUCCACACACCUUGGGAAUAAAAGUAUUGGAGAAAGAGAGUGAAAGGGUCCCUUUGAUCAGUGGUCCAGGGCACGAUAUAGAGGUCUCAGUUGUUCAGGAAUCUCUGUCUCUAGGGAACCAAAUUUAUUCCAACCCCCAGAUCCUUCACUCAUUAGAAUGGGAUUCUGCAAAUCUCUCACCAUCUCUAAGUGAUACUCAGCCCCUCCUGUGCCCACCCUGCCGGGCUGAUGUGGGGAGUCCCGGAGAUAAUAGGAGAUGUCCUCCAGAAGUUGUAAGGCAUCACACCCACGUAAAAGAUGAACAGGGAACCACCCUCCACUGGCCUGGAGCCACCCAAGCAGCCUCUCUGUGUUCAGCCACUACUAAGUCUCCGGCUUAUUCCUUCUGGCAUUUAGUAAACCCUUACACAUCACUACUGAAGUUCUGAUUCUCUUUCUUAAUAUUCUCCUGCAUUUAGUGAUUUUUCUAGCCCCAUACUGUGAGAUUAAUAAGUAGGCCCUAUGAAAAGUUUAACAUGACAGCGCAGAGAUCUGAGGGCCGAGGGAUUACAUGACCUUCCCAGGUCUACGUGGCUCUAGUGGGAUUGGGGUGCAGGUCCCUCACUACACCAGCCCUCUGCCUUUCUGUAUCGUCUCACCUAUGUGAAGCCAUCGCCCACGCAGUCUUUCUAAUCCAUGUAUAAAGUGCUCACUGAACUCCACGAUCUUCCUGAGACCUAACUUUGAUUCAGAUGGCUCUGCUUGGAAGCCAGUAAACAAUGGGAUCAGAAGUUAGAACCAAUUAUCACAAUUCUCCCUCUGGUCUUCUGUCAGUAACAUGUCAUUAGUUCUCUGCAUUGCAAAAAGAUUAACCAGGCUCUUCUCUGAUAGAAAUUUUAAGAAGAUAUAGCCUCUACACCAAGAGGCACAUGACACAACCUGGACUCUGGGCAAACCACCGGGUGCACUCACAUGAAGUGGCGGCUUAUUUGGCCUCCCCAGGACGGACUGGAGCAUCAGUAGUGCCUGAGUUCAUCAAAGGACAGAUGCUCAAGACACCUUGAUCACCAUUAGGUGGAAUUGAAGGAGCCAAAAAUGGGCGCAGUGGCUCCUCAGCAGAGACGCUCCUGAAUGUAUAGACAUGGGAACCACUUUCAGCAUCAAAAAAGGAAACGUUCUGCAUGCCCA
ensembl:lncRNA RFPL3S RFPL3 antisense